rnacentral:rRNA from 1 species
AUUGAACGCUGGCGGCAUGCUUUACACAUGCAAGUCGAGCGGCAGCGCGGGGGGCAACCCUGGCGGCGAGCGGCGAACGGGUGAGUAAUGCAUCGGAACGUAUCCUGUAGUGGGGAAUAACUCACCGAAAGGUGAGCUAAUACCGCAUAAGCUCUGAGGAGGAAAGCGGGGGACCGAAAGGCCUCGCGCUGCAGGAGCGGCCGAUGUCCGAUUAGCUAGUUGGUGAGGUAAAGGCUCACCAAGGCGACGAUCGGUAGCUGGUCUGAGAGGAUGAUCAGCCACACUGGGACUGAGACACGGCCCAGACUCCUACGGGAGGCAGCAGUGGGGAAUUUUGGACAAUGGGGGAAACCCUGAUCCAGCCAUGCCGCGUGAGUGAAGAAGGCCUUCGGGUUG